rnacentral:rRNA from 1 species
AUUGAACGCUGGCGGCAGGCCUAACACAUGCAAGUCGAACGAGUGGCGGACGGGUGAGUAAUGUCUGGGAAACUGCCCGAUGGAGGGGGAUAACUACUGGAAACGGUAGCUAAUAACGCAUACCAUCGGAUGUGCCCAGAUGGGCUUAGAUAGUAGGUGGGGUAACGGCUCACAUAGGCGACGAUCCCUAGCUGGUAUGAGAGGAUGACCAGCCACACGGGAACUUGGACACGGUCCAGACUCCUACGGGAGGCAGCAGUGGGGAAUAUUGCACAAUGGGCGCAAGCCUGAUGCAGCUAGGCCGCGUGUAUGAAGAAGGCCUUCGGGUUGUAAAGUACUUUCAGCGAGGAGGCGUUACUCGCAGAAGAAGCACCGGCGAACUCCGUGCCAGCAGCCGCGGUAAUUC